rnacentral:tRNA from 1 species
ACAUGCGUAGCUUAUUGAAAGUAUAGCCCUGAAAAGGCUAAGAUGAGAAGUAAAAUUUCCGCGAGUA